GUUUCCUGCCCCUAGUCGCCGCUCCCUGCUCGCCCUUGGCUGCCCUGGCGCUUCUCACCGGCCCAACCCGCAGAGGUACAAUAUUUAUCGUUAUUAUUUUGCAACAAACUAUGACCCUAGACAACCGGCCCCCUUCUAUCCUAAAUUCCUAGCUCCGCCCCUGCACCUCCUGCUCAUCAAUGGCUGAUAAGCUAGCUCUUCCUCUUCUCAUCCCAAGUCCUCCACACACUAAACCCUUUUUCUCUCAAGACUUCCACAAUAAAAAAACCCACCACCAGCGACCACAGCCAUUAACCCCCCUUCUAAAUGACCUUCUGCAACCAAAUUCAGCCACCACACAACCCCCAAGACACCUUUCUCCUAUAAUCCCCAGAAAAACACGUCGUAUUGGCAAACACAAUGAUCCAAACAAGGGAAAACCCUGGUCUUCUCACCUAUCUUCGCGAGGUGAGCAAAUCUUUCGAACUCUUAUUAAUCCAGAUUUCCAGUCUUCUCAGAUUGACGAGAAUUUGCUUAAUUUGGUUGGUUUUCAUGGAAAUCAAUCAGAAUUCUCCUCAAAGUCAUUGUCUUUGGAUGUAUUGGGUUUAGUUCAAGGUUUAGUUCAUUACAAGAAAUUUGAUUUGGCUUUAAAUGUGUUUGAUUGGGUUAAGAAACACUAUAAAGAUUCACGGAAGGCUUUACGUGGUUCUAUUGUGGCUGUGAUUAUAUCCAUGCUUGGUAAAGAUGGUAGGGCUUCAGCUGCAUCUUCUUUGAUACGUGGUCUUCAAAAAGAUGGUUUUGUUAUUGAUGUUUAUGCUUACACUUCAUUGAUAAGUGCUUAUGCUGGUAAUGGGAGGUUUAGAGAGGCCGUGGCGGUUUUUAAGGAAAUGGAAGAAGAAGGUUGUCAACCUACUAAGAUUACAUAUAAUGUGAUUCUUAAUGUGUAUGGGAAAAUGGGUAUGCCUUGGAAUAAAAUUGAAUCUGUCUUUGAGAGUAUGAAGAGUUCAGGGGUUGUCCCUGAUUCUUAUACGUAUAAUACUCUGAUAAGUUGCUGCAAGCGUGGGUCUUUGCAUGAAGAGGCUAAGAGGAUCUUUGAAGAGAUGAAGUUCACAGGGUUUAUGCCCGAUUAUGUUACUUAUAAUACGUUGUUGGAUGUAUAUGUGAAGUCUCGGAAGCCUAAAGAGGCAAUGGAUGUUUUAAAGGAGAUGGAGGGCAAUGGGUUUUCUCCUAGCAUAGUUACUUACAAUUCAUUAAUCUCAUGUUAUGCUAGAGACGGGUUAUUUGAUGAGGCAAUGGAGUUGAAAGCUGAAAUGUUGGCUAAAGGGAUAAAACCAGAUGUUUUUACUUAUACAACCCUGUUUUCGGGAUAUGAGAAAGUGGGGAAAGAUGAGUUUGCUAUGAGGGUUUUUGAAGAGAUGAUAAGUUUAGGCUGCAAACCAAACAUUUGUACCUUUAAUGCUCUAAUUAAGAUGCAUGGUAACCGAGGGAGGUUUGCUGAGAUGAUGAAGGUCGUUGAAGAGAUUAGGGAGUGUGGAUGUGUUCCUGAUAUUGUGACUUGGAAUACGCUUUUGGCCGUGUUUGGCCAAAAUGGAAUGGAUAGUGAAGUUUCUGGAGUCUUUAAGGAGAUGAAAAGGGCUGGUUUUGUUGCCGAGAGAGAUACAUUCAACACUUUGAUUGGUGCUUACAGUAGAUGUGGCUCUUUAGAUCAAGCCAUGACAGUAUAUAGAAGUAUGUUGGAAGCUAAUGUCAGUCCGGACCUUUCUACGUACAAUGCUGUUUUAGCAGCAUUAGCCCGUGGAGGUCUUUGGGAGCAAUCUGAGAAGAUUCUUGAUGAAAUGAAAGACGAGCGUUGUAAACCUAAUGAGUGUACUUAUAGUUCUUUACUUCAUGCUUAUGCAAAUGGUAAGGAAAUUGACAGAAUGUGUGCGUUUGCAGAGAAGAUAUAUUCUGGUGAGAUUGAACCACAUGCUGUCUUGUUAAAGACCCUUGUUUUGGUUAAUAGCAAAAGCGACCUUUUAAAGGAAACAAACCGAGCUUUUCUUGAAAUGAGAGAAAGGGGGUUUUCGCAUGACAUAAAUACUCUCAAUGCCAUGGUUGCAAUCUAUGGAAGGAGGCAGAUGUCAAUGGAGGCCAGUGAGAUAGUGUACUUCAUGAAAGAAAGUGGUUUCUCUCCUAAUUUGACUACAUACAAUUCUCUGAUGUAUAUGCAUAGUCGAUCCUCAGAUUUCCCGAAAUCUGAAGAAAUCUUGAGGGAUCUUAUGGAGAAAGGAAUCAAACCAGAUGUUAUCUCUUACAACACUGUGAUUUAUGCGUAUUGCAGAAAUGGAAAGAUGAAAGAUGCAUCAAGGGUGUUAAGUGAAAUGAGGAAAUCUGGUGUUAAUCCAGAUGUCAUCACAUAUAACACCUUCGUUGCUAGUUAUGCUGCUGAUGAAUUGUUUGAAGAGGCCAUAGAUGUGGUCAGGUACAUGAUUAAACAAGGGUGUAAACCUAAUGAGAGCACAUACAACUCUAUUGUGGAUUGGUAUUGUAAGUUCCAUCGUAGGGAUGAUGCAGUUUUAUUCAUUAAUAAGCUUCGUGAGCUUGAACCACGCAUCUCUAAGGAUGAAAUUAGUAGAUUAUCAGCACGCGUGGCAGAGACUGCAUAAGGAUGUAUUAUAUGCUUGUGUGUCCUGUAUAGAUGCCAAUAGUCUUGCAGCACCCGAAGAACUUAAAAGUUUUAACCCAAAGCAAUACAAAAUAAGAUGGUUCAAGGUCUGGUUCAGACCUCCUAAUCUAUUCCUGCUCAUCUAGCUCUCGGAUUUCUUCUGCUUCUUUCGAUGACGAUCUACUUCCCAGGAGUUAAACCCUAAAUCUUGGACUUCAUUCCUUCGCCCUCUCUAUAUAUCGAGUAUCCUUCUCCGCUGUUUCUCUCUUUCUGAUUCUAGGUAAAGAUGGUGAACUACUUCUCUCUUUGUUCUAAUAAAAGAGAGGGUGUUCUUUUGGGGGAGGUAUGUUUUGACUUGAGUAGUGGGUGAGCAUUUUAUAUAUGUUCUGUGAAGACAUUGUUUGUCCGAGGUGGCUGCUCAGAUUUCUCACAAUUUGGUUUCACGCUUCCCACUCGGAGAGGUUCCAUUGAUAAUGCAUCAUCCAAAUGCCAAUGUAAGUUUCAUUCAAGCUUCAUCAUGUGCCAAUAAACCAAAAAAGGAUUUAUGCUUGGAUGUCAGAAACCAGCAAAAGGUUUUGCUCUGUUAGUCUUCUGUAUGUAGUGAAGGGUACACCCCUGAUGUCAUAUCAACGGGAUAGUUCCGUUACAGCAGGUACCAAGCUUCAUUGGCUUUGAGUUCUUUCUACUCUAAUCAAACUUCAUCCUUAAAACAAACAUGUUAACUUAUGUGGGUUUUCGUAGCUAUUGAAACACAUGUUGGGCUACUUGCAAAAUCUUCAAAAAGACAGUUCUGUGGCACAAAAUGACAUUGUCUGGAAGUUUGAUCGUUUGUUGCCAGUUUGGAGGGGUUUCUCUUUCAGUGUUAAACACUUGAUUGGAAUGGGAACUCUUAGUGGAGUUAAGUCGAUGUUACACCAAAAGUUUCACUAUUUUUGCAAUAUGUUUGGAUUAGGUGAUGUUAAUAUCCAUGUAGGUGAAAUAGUUACUAUAUGUUUACAGAAAACUUGGUGAUUUAUAGUACUCUUUUCUCUUCUCAUUGGAUAUUAUCACAAAAUGGAGUUGUAGCUUGUAGUUUUAUAGUUCAUCAAAUACG